CGGGGCCGCGACCGGCGCGGGGCGGGGCUGCAGCCCGUGCGGGGACAGCCCUGGCAGAGUUCGGUGCUGCUUGGCGCGGCAGUGCGCAGGCCCCACUAGGUAGAAUGUAAUUUCAGAUUGGACAAGCUUUGUGACCAUCAGCAAGAGAUUGAUCCUGUCGACAUUUCAGCUUCUUCAAGUGUAGAACAACAUAUAUCACUGUGGAGGGAGCACAAUGUCUGGAGAAGAGGAGCCACGAAGCUACUACGUGGGCGUGGAUGUUGGAACAGGCAGUGUCCGUGCUGCUCUCGUCGACCAGAGAGGGGUCCUUUUGGCCUUCGCAGACCAACCGAUUAAGAAGUGGGAGCCUCAGUUCAACCACCACGAGCAAUCCUCUGAAGACAUCUGGGCUGCGUGCUGUGUUGUCACAAAGAAAGUUGUACAAGGGAUCGAUUUAAACCAAAUUCGAGGACUUGGGUUCGAUGCCACAUGCUCUCUGGUUGUCUUGGAUAAACAGUUUCGUCCUUUGCCAGUAAACCAUGAAGGGGAUUCCCAUCGAAAUGUCAUCAUGUGGCUGGACCACCGAGCAGUCAGUCAGGUGCACAGGAUCAAUGAGACGAAGCACAGUGUCCUCCAGUAUGUUGGGGGCGUGAUGUCUGUGGAAAUGCAGGCCCCAAAGCUUCUCUGGCUAAAAGAGAACUUGAGAGAGACUUGCUGGGAUAAGGCGGGACAUUUCUUUGAUCUUCCAGACUUCUUAUCAUGGAAGGCAACAGGUGUCACAGCACGGUCUCUCUGCUCCCUGGUAUGCAAAUGGACAUAUUCAGCUGAGAAAGGUUGGGAUGACAGUUUCUGGAAGAUGAUUGGUUUGGAAGACUUUGUUGCUGAUAAUUACAACAAAAUAGGAAACCAGGUGCUACCUCCCGGAACUUCUCUUGGAAGUGGGCUUACACCAGAGGCUGCAAAGGAGCUUGGCCUUCGCCCCGGGGUCCCGGUGGCAGCCUCGCUCAUUGAUGCCCAUGCCGGAGGACUAGGAGUGAUUGGAGCAGAUGUGAGGGGUCAUGGCCUCAUCUGUGAGGGACAGCCAGUGACGUCACGGCUGGCUGUCAUCUGUGGAACAUCUUCUUGUCACAUGGGGAUCAGCAAAGACCCAAUUUUUGUACCAGGUGUCUGGGGGCCUUAUUUCUCAGCCAUGGUCCCUGGGUUCUGGCUGAACGAAGGUGGUCAGAGUGUCACUGGAAAAUUGAUAGACCAUCUGGUGCAAGGCCACCCUGCCUUCCCUGAAUUGCAAGCCAAGGCCACAGCCAGAUGCCAGAGUAUAUAUGCAUAUUUGAAUAGUCACCUGGAUCUGAUUAAGAAGACUGAGCCUGUGGGUUUCCUCACUGUUGAUCUGCAUGUUUGGCCAGAUUUCCAUGGCAACCGGUCUCCCUUAGCAGAUCUGACACUAAAGGGCAUGGUCACUGGAUUGAAACUAUCUCAGGACCUCGAUGAUCUUGCCAUCCUCUACCUGGCCACAGUUCAAGCCAUUGCUUUUGGGACCCGCUUCAUUAUAGAGGCCAUGGAGGCAGCAGGGCACUCCAUCAGUACUCUUUUCUUGUGUGGGGGCCUGAGCAAGAAUCCUCUUUUUGUGCAGAUGCAUGCAGACAUUACUGGCAUGUCUGUGGUCCUGUCGCAAGAGGUGGAGUCUGUUCUUGUGGGAGCUGCUAUUCUGGGUGCCUGUGCCUCCGGGGAUUUCACUUCUGUGCAGGAGGCAAUGGCAAGAAUGAGCAAAGUCGGGAAAGUUGUGUUUCCGAGACUUGAGGAUAAGAAAUAUUAUGACAAGAAAUAUCAAGUAUUCCUGAAGCUGGUUGAACACCAGAAGGAGUAUUCAGCAAUCAUGAGUGGGGACUGAACCGACAGACACCAAUGCCAUUAGGACCUCUAUCCUUGCAUCUUACAUUCAAGACCCUUUAGAUUGUUUAUUAGUUACAAGAGGAAAAAGAAUGUUAACGAUACAGGGAAGAAACAGGACAACAUCUUGAUUGGAUGAUCCAAAUUAACUUCAGAUGGGCAAAUAGACAUCAUGUGCCUCCAGAUGUGAUAGCAUGGAAAUAAAUGGCAUCACUCAGACUGGGAAUGCACAGACUGAAACUAAUCAUAAAGAAAUAUCAGAAAAACCCAUCCUGCAUUCUGUUUUCUUUAAUGGACUAUAUUCUUCAAAAAUGACUAUGUCAUAAAGACAAAAGCUAAGGAAAGUUUCAAGAUUAAAACAAACUAAAUAAACAUGAUGGCUUAAAAGAUUUGGGGGUAGACAAGUGUUUGCAAAACUAUAGUUGUUUCAGUUGAUACAAGAGCAAACACCUAAACACACACAUAUACACAUAUACUCAUUCACACAUUGUUUCAGACCCAAGAAUUAAUGUUGAUUCGGGAGCUAUUACAGUUCAGGUGAGUUUGGGCAUAGAAUAUGCUAAGGCUUCAGCAAAGUAAGACAGCAGACAGAAAAGAAAAAUCCAAUGGAAUGCAAUCAACAAAUAUUCUUUGGUACUUUCUGUGUGCCAGCAUUAUGCUAAGCACAGAGGUACAGGAACAAAUAAAACUUGGUUCCUACAGUCAAGGAGCUCUUGGUCUAGUAAGAUGUAACCAGGUAAAUCAACAACCUUGCAUUUUAGAAGGUGCUGCAAUGAAGGAAACCACUUGCUCUAAGGAGCAGUCAGAAAAGGAGGCAGAAGAAA